AGAGUUUGAUCAUGGCUCAGGGUGAACGCUAGCGGCAGGCUUAACACAUGCAAGUCGCGGGGCAGCGAGGGUAGCAAUACCUGUCGGCGACCGGCGGAAGGGUGCGUAACGCGUGAGCAACAUUCCCGUAUCAGGGGGAUAAUCUUUGGAAACGAAGUCUAAUACCCCAUAACAACAGAGGCCGCAUGACCUUUGUUUGAAAGCUCCGGCGGAUACGGAUUGGCUCGCGUGACAUUAGCCAGUUGGAGUGGUAACGGCACACCAAGGCGACGAUGUCUAGGGGUUCUGAGAGGAAGGUCCCCCACACUGGAACUGAGACACGGUCCAGACUCCUACGGGAGGCAGCAGUGAGGAAUAUUGGUCAAUGGGCGCAAGCCUGAACCAGCCAUGCCGCGUGCAGGAAUAAGGCCCUAUGGGUCGUAAACUGCUUUUGCUGGGGAGCAAUAAGGUCUACGUGUAGGCUGAUGAGAGUACCCGGCGAAUAAGCAUCGGCUAACUCCGUGCCAGCAGCCGCGGUAAUACGGAGGAUGCAAGCGUUAUCCGAAUUUAUUGGGUUUAAAGGGUGCGUAGGCUGUUGUUCAAGUCAGAGGUGAAAGCCCGGGGCUCAACUCCGGAACUGCCUUUGAUACUGGGCGGCUUGAAUCCUGUUGCCGUGGGAGGAAUGAGUAGUGUAGCGGUGAAAUGCAUAGAUAUUACUCAGAACACCGAUUGCGAAGGCAUCUCACGAAGCAGGUAUUGACGCUGAGGCACGAAAGCGUGGGGAUCAAACAGGAUUAGAUACCCUGGUAGUCCACGCAGUAAACGAUGAUGACUAACCGUCGGCGAUACACAGUCGGUGGCCAAGCGAAAGCGAUAAGUCAUCCACCUGGGGAGUACGACCGCAAGGUUGAAACUCAAAGGAAUUGACGGGGGCCCGCACAAGCGGAGGAACAUGUGGUUUAAUUCGAUGAUACGCG
rnacentral:rRNA from 1 species